UACGUAGGGGGGCGAGCGUUGUCCGGAAUUAUUGGGCGUAAAGAGCGUGUAGGCGGCCCGGUAAGUCCGCUGUAAAAGUCAAAGGCUCAACCUUUGAAUGUCAGUGGAUACUGCCGGGCUAGAGUCCGGAAGAGGCGAGUGGAACUCCUGGUGUAGCGGUGGAAUGCGCAGAUAUCAGGAAGAACACCGACGGCGAAGGCAGCUCGCUGGGACGGUACUGACGCUGAGGUGCGAAAGCUAGGGUAGCAAACGGG
rnacentral:rRNA from 1 species